rnacentral:sRNA from 1 species
AAAUGGACCAGCAAAAUCUACCGCGGUC